GCAUGUAGGGAUUUUCUUCUCUAAAUACACACAUAUGCUGCUUUGCUUUCAAUUUAUUAUUUCUAUUCCUACAUGUCAACUCACCAAUUUUUUCCAUUCUUAUCACUACUGUAGCAAAAAACUUUCAUGGAAUUAAACAGAUUAAUAUGAAAUUAGAAUGCUUACAUUGGUGCCUAGCUAGAACAUUCGGAACCAGUAUAAGCAGAAAUUGAGAGAACAGUUAGAUACUCUGGCAUAUUUGAUCAAAGAAUGAUGCAGACUCAAGCAUGCCACCAAGUGAUGGAUGAAGCAGAAAAGGAGUACAAGAAGUUUUCCGAACGGAUCACUGAAAGCCGUGAGGCAGUGAAGGUUAUUUGAAGCUUGGCAUAGUAAAAUACCUCUACUUGUUGAAGCUGUAAAGUCCUUGCUAGAGGAGCCGAGUUUAGGUGUUCGGAAAGCACCUUCUGAGUUAAUUGUGGUUAUGGCUUCACAUUGUUACUUGGUUGGUUUAUCUGGAGAGUUGUUCAUUGAGUAUCUUAUACGGCACCGUGCUUUAACUGACAAUAAUCGUGGUGAUCUUGACAUCCUGAAUAAGAGAGUGGAGGUAAAAUUUCUCCCCAAUCCUUGCUUCUCAAUAAACAAGUGCCACGUGUGUACAAUGAUAAGACCAUGAUUGAAACCAAAAUUUACUUUCUUAAAUGCCAUCUUAGCUCGGUGAUGAUCAUGCCAGAAACUUAUAUUGUUGUGCCAUGAUUCAAUUUAUAAAAGGAACUAUACCACAAACAUAUAAUUAG